UCCCUGGUGGCUCAGAGGGUAAAGAAUCUGCCUGCAAUGCAGGAGACCCAGGUUCAAUCCCUGGGUUGGGAA
rnacentral:tRNA from 1 species